AGCAGGAUGGCCUAGUGGCAAGGGCUUGGGAGUCAGAAGUCAUGGGUUCUAAUCCCAUCUCUGCCA
rnacentral:tRNA from 1 species